rfam:Frankia sp. Cc1.17 contig_138, whole genome shotgun sequence.
CUUCAGCGAGCCGAGCCACAGCGGCCGGUCGGCGGGUCGGUCCUGGCCGUACGUGGCGAGGAUGGCCUGGGCCUC